GCCGGCGCGAUGCUGGCGCUGUGGCUGGUGGGCCUGGGGCAGAAGCUGCUGAUCUGGGGCGCGCUGGGCGCCGUCUCCGUGGCGGGAGCCACUCUUCUCCUGAGCCUCCUGCAGAUGGUGGCGAGGUGCGCGCGGCAAUGGCAGCAGUUGAGGGGCCUCCCCACGUUGCCCGGCUGCUACCCCUUGGUGGGACACGCGCUGAUGAUGAAGCCAGAAGGGAAAGAAUUUUUUCAGCAGCUAAUUUGUUACACAGAAGAAUAUCGGCAUUUUCCACUGCUGAAACUCUGGCUUGGACCAGUACCACUCUUGGCCAUUUAUAAUGCAGAAAACGUGGAGGUAAUUUUAAGUAGUUCGAGUCAAAUUGACAAAUCCUGUGUGUACAAGUUCCUAGAACCAUGGCUUGGCCUGGGACUCCUUACCAGUACUGGAAACAAGUGGCGAUCUAGGAGAAAAUUGUUAACACCCACUUUCCAUUUUACAAUUCUGGAAGAUUUCUUAGAUGUCAUGAAUGAACAAGCAAAUGUAUUGGUUAAUAAGCUUGAAAAACAUGUUAACCAAGAAGCCUUUAACUGCUUUUUUUACAUCACUCUUUGUGCCUUAGAUAUAAUUUGUGAAACAGCCAUGGGGAAGAACGUUGGAGCUCAAAGUAAUGAUGAUUCCGAGUACGUCCGUGCAAUUUAUAGGAUGAGUGAUUUGAUAUCUCGAAGAAUGAGGAUGCCGUGGCUCUGGCUUGACUUUUUGUUUCUUAUGUAUAAAGAAGGAUGGGAACACAAAAGGAACCUGAAGAUCCUACAUGAUUUUACCAAUAAGGUCAUCUCUGAACGGGCCAAGGAACUGAAGAGAGACGAAGAACACAGAAGUGGUGACAAGGACUCUUCCCCCUCCAAGAAUAAACGCAGGGCUUUUCUUGACUUGCUUUUAAAUGUGACUGAUGAUGAAGGGAACAAGCUAAGUCACGAAGAGGUUCGAGAAGAAGUGGACACUUUCAUGUUUGAGGGCCAUGACACGACUGCAGCAGCAAUAAACUGGUCCUUAUAUCUAUUGGGUUCUUACCCAGAAGUCCAGAAACACGUGGACAGUGAACUGGAGGAAGUGUUUGGAAAGUCUGAUCGUCCUGCUACCGUAGAAGACCUGAAGAAACUUAGAUACCUGGAAUGUGUCAUUAAGGAGAGCCUCCGCCUUUUUCCUUCUGUCCCCUUAUUUGCCCGCAAUCUUACUGAAGAUUGUGAAGUUGCGGGUUACAAAAUUGUGAAAGGCGCUCAAGCAAUCAUCGUUCCCUAUGCACUGCAUAGAGAUCCAAGAUACUUCCCAAAUCCUGAGGAAUUCCAGCCGGAACGGUUCUUUCCUGAGAAUUUGCAAGGACGCCACCCAUUCGCAUAUGUGCCUUUCUCUGCUGGACCCAGAAACUGUAUAGGUCAAAAAUUUGCCACAAUGGAAGAAAAGGUCGUUCUCUCCUGCAUCCUGAGACACUUUUGGGUAGAAUCCAACCAGAAAAGAGAAGAACUUGGUCUGGCGGGAGAGCUGAUCCUUCGUCCAACGAGUGGCAUCUGGAUCAAGCUGACGAGGAGAAACGGAGAUGCGUCCUAACCACAGUCCUGGGCUGUGCCCUUGUCACGUGAACGGUCUUUCUUGAAAGGAACUGGAUUUACGAUUUCUAGAUCUGGGUUCAAUACUCUGAGUCCCCAGACCUAUUUUUUUUUUCUUGUCCCCACUUCUGUUGGGAUCAAGCUCCCCAAAGAGUUUUUAUAUUUGCAUCACGACCAUAGGUCUUAGCCCUGGUCUCGAUCCCCAAAGUAGAGUUAACCAGUGACGACACCCAAGUAAACAUAUGAUAGGUUUCUCAGCAGAGGGAUCCACAGGCCAAUUCAAUUCAAUUGGCACACCGAAAGAAUAUAAUUUAAUUGAGAUUCCAGAAGUUUUUAAAGGUAGUCUUACUGACUGGGGAACACGUAUAUGCAUGUACACAUAUGUAUUUAAUUCGAAAAGCGUGGGUAAUUAAGUACUUAGACCCAAGAAGCUCAAGUUUUAAAAUUAUAUGAGUGACAUCAAAUAUGAGAAGAAGAAUUAUUAUGGCACUUUUCAGAUAUAUUGCCUGGACUUGAUAAUUUUUUAAGUUGACUCAUAAGUUCUGUUCCUGUUUCCCUUUUGACCAGGUGCCGAUAGCCGUGACUUCAUUAUCCAUAGCAUCACAACUAGCCUUAUAUAUCAUACACAGUUGGGGAAGAUGCCUCUCGUGGCCCUGCCCUGGAUGUGAAAUUAAAGUAAAACAUUGCUUAAUGUUACCUUUUGGCCUGAGAUCUUCAUGUAGCUCCAGAAUAAUUUGUUAUUUGUGUUUUAGUUGGAAACUCUCGUAACCGUGUUAGAGGGAGAAUGGUCUAUGGUAUCAAAAUGCAGAUGCUGAUUUUUUUUUUUAAUAAGAGAAUAAUCAAGUAUCUAUGACCCUAUUACUCGUCUAACUGCUGCUUGAAAGAGACUGAUGCUGAGUCUUCCUGAGUCUGAAGAAUUAACUGGACACGAAGUAGAGAUCCCAGCACAGUUUGCUCGGCUGAUAGCAGCAAGUGAAAUCUCCUAGAGGGGCCUGGGAAUCAGCAAAACCACAAGCAUCAUUGGAACCCAGCAUUGCAGGCUGGAAACCUCUCCAGGUGACGGGCUAGUGAACUGACUGAUGCUGUGUUCAUUGUCACAGACAACAAAAGAAUGUCAGUUUCUGGACCAAACGACCUGUCUUACAACGAAAGAGGUGCUGCCUGUGCGGCACGCGCACGCGCACGCACACACGCGCACACACCCACACACACACACACACACACACACACACUGUAUCUAGAAGAUCAAAACAUUUUGCUUUCCAGCAUCUAAAGAGGUGCUGGUAGGAACAUGACAAAUUUUUGAGUCUGCCUAGAAACCUCCCUCCUUUUUUUAGGAACAGUACCUCCUUUAUCUUUGAAACUGUCCCAUGAUCAAUACCUCCCCCAAUUUUCUUCUGUUUCUCGCCUUUUUGCUUCCCCAACAUAUAUACACGCUGUAAAUAUACAGUUCUCGUUGAUGACGCCAUGUUCUCAGGCAAUCUCACCGUCUUAAGUGGACUGACCCAAGCAGGGUCCGCUCAGAUUCUCCCCUUGGGAAUCGAUGGAGGUUUCAGGUUGUGAGACUGGGGAUCAGUUGGCAGUUGAAGCUCUGGGAAGAAGGUGCAGGGGAGAGAAGAUGCACAGAAAAGAAACGGAGAGAAUCCUGGAGGCUCUGAGUCCUACAUUCCCGGGGAUGGGCAAGUUCAGCUACACGCCCGCCCUGUGCACUGUUCAAUUGUUCACCUGCACGCUGGAGCCCAGGCGCCAGGGUAUUGCCAUUUUGUUUAGGUUGAUCGUCUUUCAUUUCUAACCCAAAGCCAGUUAGUGUUUGUGAGCUCAGCUGCAGGAAGGAGAAAGGUGCUCUAUUCUUCGGACGUGGUCUUCUGUCCUCAUCCUCUUUCCUUUGUGCUGUUCACUACUUCUCCUCCAGGCUGGAUAACCUCAGCCGAUAACAUAUGUCUGCUAGUCAUUGAAAUGUGAUAGGAUUUUUAAAAAUUAAGAUUUAAUUGACAUUAUAUUAGUUGCAGGUGCAUAACAGUGAUUUGAUAUUUGUAUGUGUACGAAGUGAAAAAUGCAAUAGCGUUUGAGGAAAUGCAGAGUUCCCAUCGUUUCUAGAUGGUAGGAAAAUUAAAAGGCCCCUGCUUUAUCUUAGAACAAAUUGGGAUUAGCCUAACACAAGGGUCUAGUUUCUUAGCCCCAUCCUGAUGUAUUGCCCAGGCUAAUUUGUCUUUUUUUUUCUUGCUUUCAUUAAACGAGAUUCACCCCCA